CCCUGAAUCCCGGCUGAGACAGGGGCUAGGCUAGGGCUGAUCAUUAGGGGCAGCAGGGCUGGGAAGGGUGGAGGGCAUCUUACCUGGCACUAGGCUGUGAGGGAAGCCCAGCCCAGGUGAGCACAGAGCCCAUGGACCAGCGAAGCAGGCAUGGCUCACCUGCCGUGGGACCCCAACCAGGGCCCAUUGCUGGGGCACAGCAUCCCAAGGCAGGGAACGAGUGUCUGGGAUUAGUGGUAGACAGGCCUCCCUGCCCAGGGCUAUACCCUACAUGGGUGCAGUGCAGCCUGGGGAGACCAAUUUGCCAGUGUCAAGUGAACACAGCCCUGUGCUUGCAAAUGCUCACAUCCCUGACAGCCCUGCUUCAAGUCACAGAGCCCCAGGACCAGGUUUCUCUAAGGAGCGCUGCCUCAGGGAAUAAAAGGGACAUGGUAGAGUUUCUUGUCCUUUUGGGGAAGAGCCAUAUCGCAAACUAAAAGGAGCUUGCUGGUUUUUCCUCUGGAGGACUCUCCCCUAAGAUACAGGGUACUACUCCUUUGUCCUUGAGUUCUCCCAGCAAACAUUUGCUGAGUGGCCAGUACAUGACUGGUGCAGGGCAACAGAUACCAUAUCACUGCCCCAGGAGCUGCCCUGCCAGGAAGCAGACACUGUUUUCUCCUCCUAGGACCCACAGUUGGAUGACUGGAUAUGCCCCACAGUGAUUGUGUCAUGUUGUGGGUGCCCAGACAGGGGCAAACAGGACACCUUGGGUGACUUUGCUCACAGCUGCAUGCAGGGCCCACUGAUGUGCUGUCAGCACAAGAACAUGGAGAGGUACACCAACUACACUCCAGUGGAUCCCCUCUGUGGGCAGUUAUACUGCAGCCCAAACAUCUGCCUUCAAUGCAGACAAAACUGCUACCUCGGGAACAGCUGCUGCUCAAGGUGCCAAUGUCCUGUAUCCUCCAUGCCUCCCACCUGGAUGCUGCCGCCAAACCCUCCCUCUCCUCAGCACUGUUUGGAAGACUGACACUUCCACCCCCACACCACAGCACCACAAACCCCAAAUCAUUAAGAACCUUUUAUUGAGCAAGCACACAAUUCAAGAUGGUGGCAUGAGAAGUGAGACAAGAGAACCAUCAAAACCACACAUAACUAAUCCUAAAAGAGCAACAGGAAAGAGGGCUGCACCAGACUGCAUGCACCUGGAGAACAAAGCAGACCUCAUGAAACAGGGUAAUGUACCAAAGCCUUGAUUCAGUGGGA